GAUGAACGCUGGCGGCGUGCCUAAUACAUGCAAGUCGAGCGAACAGACGAGGAGCUUGCUCCUUUGACGUUAGCGGCGGACGGGUGAGUAACACGUGGGUAACCUACCUAUAAGACUGGGAUAACUUCGGGAAACCGGAGCUAAUACCGGAUAAUAUUUCGAACCGCAUGGUUCGAUAGUGAAAGAUGGCUUUGCUAUCACUUAUAGAUGGACCUGCGCCGUAUUAGCUAGUUGGUAAGGUAACGGCUUACCAAGGCAACGAUACGUAGCCGACCUGAGAGGGUGGUCGGCCACACUGGAACUGAGACACGGUACAGACUCCGACGGUAGGCAGCAGUAGGGAAUCUUCCGCAAUGGGCGAAAGCCUGACGGAGCAACGCCGCGUGAGUGAUGAAGGUCUUCGGAUCGUAAAACUCUGUUAUUAGGGAAGAACAAACGUGUAAGUAACUGUGCACGUCUUGACGGUACCUAAUCAGAAAGCCACGGCUAACUACGUG
rnacentral:rRNA from 1 species